ACGCUGGCGGCGUGCUUAACACAUGCAAGUCGAACGGAAAGGCCCAAGCUUGCUUGGGUACUCGAGUGGCGAACGGGUGAGUAACACGUGGGUGAUCUGCCCUGCACUUCGGGAUAAGCCUGGGAAACUGGGUCUAAUACCGGAUAGGACGAUGGUUUGGAUGCCAUUGUGGAAAGUUUUUUCGGUGUGGGAUGAGCUCGCGGCCUAUCAGCUUGUUGGUGGGGUAAUGGCCUACCAAGGCGUCGACGGGUAGCCGGCCUGAGAGGGUGUACGGCCACAUUGGGACUGAGAUACGGCCCAGACUCCUACGGGAGGCAGCAGUGGGGAAUAUUGCACAAUGGGCGCAAGCCUGAUGCAGCGACGCCGCGUGGGGGAUGACGGCCUUCGGGUUGUAAACUCCUUUCGCUAGGGACGAAGCGUUUUUGUGACGGUACCUGGAGAAGAAGCACCGGCUAACUACGUG
rnacentral:rRNA from 1 species